UACGAGGGGUGCAAGCGUUACUCGGAAUUACUGGGCGUAAAGCGUGCGUAGGUGGUGAGUUAAGUCUGUCGUGAAAGCCCCGGGCUCAACCUGGGAAUGGCGAUGGAUACUGGCUCGCUAGAGUGCGGUAGAGGAGAGUGGAAUUCCCGGUGUAGCAGUGAAAUGCGUAGAGAUCGGGAGGAACAUCAGUUGCGAAGGCGGCUCUCUGGACCAGCACUGACACUGAGGCACGAAAGCGUGGGUAGCAAACAGG
rnacentral:rRNA from 1 species